UCGGGGAAAGACUGUAGUAUUAAAAGAUCAACAACACGCCGGCCUAAGGCGUCUUCCAUUAAUUACGUAACACUGAUGGGCGGGAGAGGGAGUGUCGUCAAACGUUAUGAUUUGUUACACGGGUAAAGGAGAGAAGUUAAACUUUUGUUACGUAACGCAAAACAAAAUGUUCCCAAAACAUUUUGCGAAUAAAAAAUUAUUACAAAAAGAUGACCCUUCUUCUUGAUUUAACAACUUAUGCGAUUAUGUCGGUCUAAACAGGAUUUCGCGACUUAUUGAGCACCACCUAGCCGAACAGUCCGUCAUUGCAAGGUGGCCGGUUCACACGAACAUAGAACCCACGAUUAAAUUUGGUUACCACGGACGAAUGGAAAGAAAAAUUUACCAAAAGAUCGUCGCAGUAACGUUGCAUUCCGUCACUGAGACAACGUAUUUUGUUUUAAAGGCACGCAUUUGUUGAUAGUGACAUGCGAUUCGCAGGUACCGGCACGCGACUCGAAACAAGUGGCUCAAAAUUCCACUAUAACGCUGGAAACGGGUGGAAUACCAAUCCAAUUCCUUUCAAACCCUAUUCGUUUCAAACAAACAGAGGAUGGACUUAAACCAGUUAGCCCUUUUUCGGCACAGCUGAUAUUGGUCGUAGUUUGAUGGAUAUAUAAAAAAUACAGCCAAAAUUCCUGCAAACAGUACUGAUUUUGUUCGUAAGUCAAUGUCAUGUUAUCAAGGUUAUGAAGACUUGCAGUUAUGAAGACAUGUUGAUUGAGAAUGCACAAAACAUCCGAUAUUAUUCAAUAAUAUAAACUGUGGGAUAGGUGGGUGUAGUCACAAUCUGUUACUCAAUUUUAGAGGAAGGGUUUCUUCCAACUUUGCAUGUUGUUGCAGAGUGAGGAAAGGGGGUCGAAAAUGUGCAAGUUUAGCGUUACGUAGUUGAUGGAUGAUGCCUAAGAGCUUACCACCCACUUUUCAGAAGUUUUGAAACUAGUUGUUUCUAUAUCGUUCGUUAGCCCAACCAGACUAUCAACCAGCGGAACGGCUAAUGACGGUAUGAUAUUGUAUACUUUAUGAUACACUUCACUCACACCUCUUAGGACCACGUACGCCCAUCAUCUUGCGGUCGGGACAGUUCCAUCCCGUAAGCUUCGUUCCUUUCCCGGAGUGAUGGUAUGCGUGCUGUGUAGCACAAACAAUCUUCCCACAGAAAGCUUCCUGGCAUCAGCAGAAUAGUUAGCCCCCGGGAUGGUCGCCAGACGGUGAAACUUUUCUGCAGGUUCUUCCGGCAAUGCAUCUUUGGAUACACUAUGAUUCGCUUUUACGACGACAUCGCGUACAGGAAGUUUUCUGCAAUCUGGCACAAAGUACCAAUGAGAUUUUACUAGACUCGCACCGGUUACAAUGGGAGACUACAAUAGUGAACAUACUCUCAGCAGCAUCGGUGUGCAUCAGCAACGAAACCAUAUUAGAAAGCAAUAGCCCUGCUCAUGGUUUUUAUUAUAGGGUGUACUGCAUCACAAUCUGCAUCAAAGCUCCAGGUUUUUAGAAUAAAUGACUGACAGUCUACCUAGCAACCUAUUGGUUCAAUGUGUAUUAUAUUCUUACUGAUCAUUUUGCUCAUUUUUUAUUUUAGUCGUCCAGACCGGUCGAAUAGGAAGAUCAGUUCUCAAGGGGAGAUCAAUGAUGGAAUAACAAACCUGUAUAUGCCGCGAUAACAGCGAGAAAUAUUAUAUCAUGCUUUAUUUUAGAAUGGACUGUUUAUAGCAGAUGUUUUAAAGCAUAUUUACUGUUUAUUUCUCUUUGCUCAGAAUUAUGGGAACGUUUUAAGUUGAAGUUUAAUGGCAAAGUGUUUCAUUCAACAGUAAAAGAAUACAGCCUUUCCACAUUAGUAGUACUUGUAAAAAUUGUUUCCAAAUGAAUUGUGAAUAACAAAAGGUUUUCAAUUGCAUUUUUCAUCUUGAUAGAUUUUUCUGCAACGUUUCUACAAAUGAAACUAUUUGGAAGCUAAGGUUUAAAAUUGUUUCAGGUUAUCUCAGACCGCUGCAAAAUCGAACACCGUACGGACUAUUUCAUCUGUGCUGUAAACUUUGCCCAGAACCGGAAAAGCAUAAAAGUUUAAUUGCAAAGUGUUUCAUUCAACACAGAAGAAACACCUUCCAUCUUGCUGCCAUCAACGAUUUCACACCGUAUGCGAAUGGUCACAAGAGCACUGGUUUGUAAUAAAGCAUGUUUUUUUCUCUCUCUCUCUCUUUCUGGUUCUCCAUUUAACGAUCGAGUCGGUUUUCAUCUGCUUUUCUGCCGUUUUCAUCGGAAGACUGAUUGGAAAGUUUUAUGCUUUUCAGUUCCUGGCAAAUGCUCCUCCGUAAAUCUGGCUCAAACCUUCAGCACGAACCGUUUAAUACCACUGUUCUCCAUAAUCAACGAGUGCAGUUUGUCACCAGUACGCCCAUAAUAUGUGACAAAAGCUAUGAAAAUACUAAAAAAUAAAAGAAAUCAUCUUACACGAUCCUCGACACGACUCGUCCGAUAUUCGGCGAACCAAGGGUUCUGCUUUCGGGUGUGAAAAUAAUUAAAUACCAUCGUGUCGCGACUGUCGUUUAAUUGUCUACACUUUGGCGAACGAAAAGAAGUGACAUAACACUGGAAAGCGAGCCAAUGAUAAAAAUCUUCACACACGGUUUCACUUGGUACAGAUGCUUUCGUGCUAGUGGCAAACAAGAGAAUAUCACUCCGUCAAGAGCAGCAUUGGCGUGGCAAAGGUGAACUGGGUGGCUAGGUGAACCAUUAACUCUUCGAAAGGUGCGACUACACACCAUCAGAACACACAGCCGUACAGACAGCAACAUAUACGAUCCAAUUUAAAACUACAUAGAAUUCCGGCAACAUCACACGGUGGCAGGAACCGGUGAAGUGUAUGAAAGGAAUAUAUCAACACGGCGGAUUGUGAUCCCUUCCCGAGUUUGGUUCUUCAGUCUAUACCUCUGUCUAUCUAUCUCUCUCUCUAGCUCACAGUCACAUACACUAUCGACAUUCCUCUCGGUUUUGCAGGCUUACCGAAAGAGCAAUUUAGUAAAGCACGCCAAAAUACGUGGUCAGUUUCAACGGCUAAGGACAGUUUUUCAGCACGAACCACAAACGCACACGUAUACAUCGUCUUUGCCUUUUCAAACAUUCUGCAAAGUGACAGUGCUAGUUGAGUUGAUGAGCUGAAGAACAGUCACAUUUUUGACACACUGAUCAGCAGCAGCUCUAAGGCGUCUAACUAAUGCAGUACCCACGAAGCUAAUACGGGGGUGCAAGCUACAAUCAGUGCAAACUACAUUUUGAAUUCGGACAACGCCUGUCGCUGCUAUUUUGUGCGCUCUACAGGGCAGCUUCACUUUUCUCUCGAUCUCCUGACGCACAUAAGUAAAGUAUACAACACUACAAGCUACUACUACUACUUCUACUGCAUUCAACACCAUUCUUGGGAAGGGAAAGCUAUCCUAACGAAAACUUCACAUCGAGCCAAAGAGAGCCAACCAAUUGUCAUUGCCAUAAGUAAGUGUCUCAAAGUGGAAACGAGAGUUUGAACAAGAGACAUAAAGAAAAAGGUAACUCAAUGUUGAUGUUGGUCGGCACAAAUCAUUGGCAUCUGUAUGAGAUAGCGUGAACCAAGAAACGAACAGUUCGUUACGUGCAUAGAAAAACGUAUAAUAGAAAAGUGUAUAUUCAGUUCAAGCAGCGUUAUAUCGAACUGUAGAGUGUAAUACUGGUAACGGUUAUGUACAUUGAAUGAAGUGCAAACGGAAUAUGAAAGAAGACAAAAUAAGCCAAUUAGCACUGAGUUACUGCUAGUGUAGAAGACAAACCAACACAGUGCGUGAGACAAAUAGUUAGGUGUGAAAAUAUACUAAGGUGUUAUUAUUGGCAGUUACGGAAUAUAACAUCCGUGUUCUAAAAUGUGUGUGUGAGUGUGUUUGUGUGUACGAUAGAAAGUAAAAAGUCGUAAAGUGAAAGUUUUCAUCAAAUCAUAAAAAUAUAAAAACACACACAAAAACACUUUGCCACAAAUCAAUCUCACCUUUAGCAUAUUAUGCUAACGUGUUGGAAUUGUAAACCGACGGGCUAUGUUUGUGAUGCUGUCAGUUCGCACAACAACUUCCGUUCGUGAACGGCACGCCGAAACGGUCCAGAAGGCAAUCAACAUCAAUCAACUCAUACGCAACAUCAGCAACCGAAAGCACCGUAAACCUCGGACUACUGAAACCGAAAAGCAUCAGCUAGAACAGACAGAGCAGCAACAUUUAGGGCAGUUUCCUCAACACGGGACGAUUACUGCCAGCAACAAGAGUCAUAGCAGCAGCAGCAGCAGCAGCAUCACCAGCAACAGCAGUAUAAACAAACAACAAAAUAACCGACGCAACAGUAGGGACAGCGCUAAAAACGACUACAACAACGCUAAGUCCAAGAACUGCCUUCUAAUCGACGCUUCGGAACAACAGAAUCAGAUCUCCAGUAGACAGCGCCAUCGAUCGAAAAACGUCAACGUCGAUCGGAACUGUAACAAUAUUCGGAAUCGAGCAAAGGAAAAGAUCGACAAGACCGUACCACCGCUUAUUGGAACCGUUGUCCCAACAGCCGCAGUCAUUAUCGACCAGAACGCGAGAAGCAUUCCGUCAACGAUAACACCGAUAUCGCUCUGCACCAUCUCCCAGCCGAACGAGUACCGUCUGCCAGCGGACAUACGGAAACUGUCGGUCGAGUUCACAAAGCCACCAAUUGAACCGGUGAAUAAAAUUAACACUGAGCUGGUCCUUACCGCGUCCGUUCGGCCCACGAUCAGGACGCUGACGACUGCAGCCGUAACGACGACAACAAGGACGACGACAGCAACGAUCACGACACCAACGAGAACCACGUGCUCGAUUGCCCCGCCCGAACAUCAACAGCAGCAACGCAACAACGCUACCAAUCUCAACGUUAACCAACAGACCGACGCCAACGAUAAGGACAAAUCCAAGUUUCUG